rnacentral:rRNA from 1 species
CAAUCAACGCUGGCGGCAUGCCUUACACAUGCAAGUCGAACGGCAGCGCGGACUUCGGUCUGGCGGCGAGUGGCGAACGGGUGAGUAAUACAUCGGAACAUGUCCAGUAGUGGGGGAUAGCCCGGCGAAAGCCGGAUUAAUACCGCAUACGAUCCAUGGAUGAAAGCGGGGGACCUUCGGGCCUCGCGCUAUUGGGGUGGCCGAUGGCGGAUUAGGUAGUUGGUGGGGUAAAGGCCUACCAAGCCGACGAUCCGUAGCUGGUCUGAGAGGACGACCAGCCACACUGGGACUGAGACACGGCCCAGACUCCUACGGGAGGCAGCAGUGGGGAAUUUUGGACAAUGGGGGCAACCCUGAUCCAGCAAUGCCGCGUGUGUGAAGAAGGCCUUCGGGUUGUAAAGCACUUUUGUCCGGAAAGAAAACCUCCGCUCUAAUACAGUGGGGGGAUGACGGUACCGGAAGAAUAAGCACCGGCUAACUACGUGCCAGCAGCCGCGGUAAUACGUAGGGUGCGAGCGUUAAUCGGAAUUACUGGGCGUAAAGCGUGCGCAGGCGGUGAUGCAAGACCGAUGUGAAAUCCCCCGGGCUCAACCCUGGGAACUGCAUUGGUGACUGCAUCGCUUGGAGUUAUGGCAAAGGGGGGUAAAAAUUCCCCGUGUAACAAUUGAAAUUGCUU